rnacentral:lncRNA from 1 species
GGGUGAGUCACCAGGGUCCAUGACGGUGGCCGGGUCGGGCCGGGGUAGGAGAACCACAUGAGGCCAUGAAGGGCACGACGGCUGCUAGCGAAAGUAGCAGAUUUGAAGGAGCGGCAGAUGUGGGCGGGGUCGGCGAUUGGGGAAGGCUCGCCGGCUGGGCGACAGCGAGCUCCGAUGAGUGCAACGAAUGGAAGCCAGGCGUCGGCUUACAACAAUGAUUCGGGUGCCUGUGGCAUGACGGAGAGCCGCCGCUGAAAGCUCAGUGAUGGGGCGAGUUGGUUGAGGCGUCAAUGGCACCUUUGCUCGUGACCGAGGAUGGCACUUGCGCAGCUGAAGUAAGAUGCAGGCCAACUUCAGCCUCCAAGGCUUCCCUGGCACCCUCCUCUGCCACUACGUGCUCAACAACAAGGUGAGUUUCCCACUCUCCAUUUUCCCAUAGAACUUCCAAUGACUGUUCAAAAAAUGAGUGAAGUGCACUGUAGGUCCUUGAACUAUUCCAGGGAUUUCACGUAGGUCCUCGAACUAUGAAAAUCGUCAUCUAGGUCCUCAAAGUGCAGUAAGUGUGUCAUUCAGGUCCAAAAUCUCCCUGAUAGGCUCUAACUGGCCAGCUGGCACGUAAACAGUAACCGUAACAGUGCGCGGCAAACAGUCCUGAAUUCCUGUGCGUGAUGAACAGUACACGACAAAGAACAAAUAUAAAAAAUAUCAAAAAAAUGAGAUCCUCUGUCAUCGAAGAGACCCUGGCGCGUGAACAGUAACAAUGGUCAUUAAUUCAAAAAAAGUUCGCGAAUGAUGAAUUUGGAAAAAUAUUUGUGACUUCAAUAAAAUGUUCGCGAACGAUGAAUUUGGAAAAAAUAUUCGUGACUUUUAAAAAAUAUUCGCGAGUUUAAAAAAAGUUAGCGAACGGUAAAUUUGGAAAAAAUAUUCACGACUUUAAAAAAAUGUUCGCGAACGAUGAAUUUGGGAAAAAUAUCCGCGACUUUAAAAAAUAUUCGCGAGUUUAAAAAAGUUGGCCAUUUAGAGGGGGUUAGUGAGAUUUUGGACCUGGAUGACACACUUACUGUACUUCGAGGACCUAAAUGACGAUUUUCAUAGUUCGAGGACCUAUGUGACAUCCUUGAAAUAGUUUAAGGACCUAUAGUGCACUUCACUCUCAAAAAAUCAUCCAAGAGAAAGGAAGUAGCAGGAGAGAGGCAAUAACAGCAGACCAAAGCAAAAAAAGAUCAACUCCCUUUUUCCUAUUGGCUUUUAACCUCUUGUUCUAUGUGAUUGUGCUCAGGUCUUCGAAGGAUUAGGGCUUAGGGCAACUCGAUGGUAGCCAGUCGGAGUUUGCUAGGUUACAUAUGCAAGUCCUUUUGAAAUCUCAAACUUCUUUGUGGUGAUGAGCUUCUGCUCAUCUUGAUUGAUUCCUCUACAGUGAAGGGGUGUGUCUUCUGAUGCUUUCAUUUUCUCUUUCAUACUGUGGAGUUCAUCUUUGUCUUGGAGAACAUCACCAUGUGCCUGCUAUUGUUUAUGUGGUUGUAUGGAGUGUUCCUUCAACUAAUUAGGCAACGCCCUUAAAUCUAACAAUCAAACUCCGAGAGAAUCAUUUAUACUUGAACCAGAAAGGCCAAUUCUGUGUCUCAAUUUUGUUUAGGAAUAUUAGCAAGUUGAGUAACCUUGUUCUUUCUAGAAUAGGGACAUUCCUGGUUUUUGUGUCUGUGGUUUCUACUUUUAUUAUGCUGCUUAUUUUUGUGGUUUCAUUUGAACAAGAUGUCACUCUUGUUUCCGUCGUUAUACAUAUUUUCGAAGCCAUAGCAGCAUGUUGUGCUUUGUCAGCACAUUUGUGCAUGUGUGAGGUCGCAGAUGAAGAAGCACUGAAUGCUCAUUAUAUUCUCCUCUUCUCUGAUCUUCUAUACACAUAUAUAAGAUGUGUCUUAUUUCCUUGUGUUUCCUAAGGAUCUUUCUUGAUUGAUUGUUUGACAGUGACUAUUAUGUAAAAAUGUUUUCAGUUGCUGUUUAGUACGGAUGCCUCCAUGGUUGUAUAGGCAUCCAUGGUUCUGUGAGGAGGUUAUCUAUGUCGUUCUAUUUUAUAUACUCCCUCCGUUCCUAAAUAUUUGUCACGAAUUGCACAUGGUCAUGUUAGUUGUUUGUUUCUUUUGAUCAUAUUGAUGUUGAGUUGUGGGUUUACACAUUUUACCUUGAAAUGUUUAUAUGUGUGUCCAGUUGUUUUUGGAUGGUCUACGAUUUUGUUUGUGUUUAGUUUACAUUUCUCUCCUGAAGAUCUUGCUACCCAGUUGUAUUGCUAUAUUUCCUAUAAUAGGAAGUUAAUUAUAUUUUUACUGUUUUGGCAGCCCUAACAGAUAGACCGAGGUCUCUACUGGCUCGGAAGACUGGACUUGAGGCACAUGUAAAAUUAAUGUCUCUUGCUACUCUCGUGAUCUAUAUCCAGAGUGCAAGUCAGGUCUUGGAAUGCCCAGGUGAGACUGAUCAUUCCAUGGCCUCUGUUUUUCUUGCUGGGUGGAUUACACGUUACUUCCUUGGAUGUUUUAAGGUUAUUAUAUCCUUGCUCCCCUUUUUGUUGGCAAGCAUUCUCUCGGCUUCUGGCAACUUGAGUAAGAUGCAACACACUAAUGCUAUCUUAGUCUGGUUUGUUCUUGCAGAAAAUAAGUGAAGUGUGCAGACAGGCAGCAUGGAAACACUAAAGAGAGGCUUCAGACAAACUAAUAGCUGGAGUGAUUUCCUACAUGUAGUGACCGACUUGGAAGAAAUAAGUUUCAGCUAUUUCUAAAGAUAUUAUAUCAUAAGACUAUUCUUAGGUUAAGGUGUUUGGCUUGGACUAAUGUGUACAUGGCUGUAGUGGUUCCAGAUUUGUUACAAGCUCCUUGUGCUGAGGAUCGUCAAAAUGGUGAAGUUUCUAUUAUUUUCGGAACUAUUGAUUCACAUGCUGAAGUGUAAUUUACCACAUCCCUAAGACAGAACAUAUACAUUUUGCCGUACAGUCACUAAUCCUAUGUUAUCAAGUUUUAUCUUAGUAGCGUAUAACCAAUGUUUACAACUGUCCAAGUAGUGUGUUUUGAAAAUAGAAGCAACGCGGCUCACACUAAGCAAUCACAUGUUUUAUCUCGAGGAAUUUUUUAAUUUUGAUAUAUUAUUUCUUACACAGCUACAAUUGGUACAAAAUACUGCUUAUUACUUUAAGCCUUUAUUGGCAUAAUUUUGUUGUGUUCUUUUCUUUAUUUAUUUUCCAUCAACAUCAAGUUGGAACCUGUUCUUUUUUUCCCAUAAUGAUUUUGAUGGUAAUUGGUCAAGUGUAUUUCUAGCUGGAAUUGCAUGUAUGUCUCAGAUUUAC